GCUUACCACUUUGUGAUUCAUGACUGGGGUGAAGUCGUAACAAGGUAACCGUAGGGGAACCUGCGGUUGGAUCACCUCCUUACCUUAAAGAAGC
rnacentral:rRNA from 3 species